AACAAUAAAAGUCCCUAAGAAUUGGAUUCCCAAGAGCGCCUGGUUCAGGGAUGAAUGUUUCCUAGCCACCUGCGGGCUAGGGCACAUGUUUAAUAAACAAGAAGCACUAAACAUGUUGCAGUCGGAGAAAACUCCCAAGCGGUCUUCUGCGACCAUCCGCAAAGAUCUUGCGGAGAAAGCUGCGGCCGAGCUCAGGGCCAAGGGGGGAGAAGUUGGGAAAUCGUUUGAGAAGAAUCUCAAACGGGCUAGAGAGGAGGCCCCAGCCGUUCUCAAUAAAAUAAAAAAGUCUGCUUGUGCGUCAACUCCUAG